GUGGUAUGUUCUGUAAUCUGUGGUGCUGAGGAAUCAUGGUCACAAGAUUUGUUCUAUGAUAAAAGUGGAGAUACUAUGACGAUAAGGUUCCAGGCUAAUAAAGUUCCUGUCAUGGCAUUCGACAACCCUGAGGUUGUAAGUGAACGUACUCCUGUUUUCAGUCAGCCAUAUGACAAGACAGAAUUUUAUAUUGGAUUAUGUUUGGCUAUCAGUUCCAGUGUAUUCAUAGGUUCCAGUUUCAUCAUAAAAAAGAAGGCACUGAUUCGUCUGAACCGGACAGGAGCUGUGCGUGCUAGUGCAGGGGGCUUCGGGUAUCUUAGAGAAUGGAUUUGGUGGGCAGGGUUACUUUCAAUGGGCGUGGGUGAGGCUGCCAACUUUGCAGCUUAUGCAUUUGCCCCUGCAUCUCUGGUGACACCGUUAGGAGCACUGAGUGUACUUGUGGCUGCCAUUUUGUCUUCCCGAUUCCUUAAUGAGAAUUUGAACCUAUUAGGAAAGAUAGGAUGUGUGUUGUGCGUGCUAGGCUCCACAGUGAUUGUAAUUCAUUCUCCAAAGGAAGAGGAAGUGGAGAGUCUGUCGGAGUUGCUCACUAAAUUGCAGGAUCCCGGUUUUAUCACGUACGUGGUGGCCGUUGUGUCCUUGUCCGUGUUCAUCGCUUUGUGCGUGGGACCUCGGUAUGGGCAUCAGAACGUGGUGGUGUACAUCACGCUCUGCUCGGCUGUGGGCUCGCUAACCGUGAUGGCCUGCAAAGGGCUGGGGCUCGCUCUCAAGGAGACGCUUUAUGGCGAGCGUAACGAGAUGGGCAACUGGCUGACCUGGAUCUUCCUCUGGACUGUCAUGCUGUGUAUCACAGUUCAGAUGAAUUACCUCAACAAGGCACUGGACUUGUUCAACACAGGCAUUGUGACCCCGGUGUACUAUGUCCUCUUCACAACCCUUGUGAUUGUUGCAUCCACUAUUCUGUUCAGGGAGUGGCAGCACCUCAAUGGGGAGGACAUGCUCGGGAACUUAUGUGGGUUCCUUACGAUUAUUAUGGGUAUUGUCCUUCUGAAUGCGUUCAAAGACAUGGAUGUCUCAAUGCUUGAUGUUCGGGGCCUUAUGCGGCCAAAACAUGAUAUGUUGUUACCAUGUAGUGAUGAUAGAGGAGGUUUAUGGGCAUCCUAUGGUAGCCCUCAUGUGACACACAACUCCAUUUGACCUUCUGCCUCCAUGUCACGCAUAAAGAACCUGUGAAUUCAAAGUCUGAACUUCCUAGAUGAUUCGUUGAAGAAGAGAAUUGCUGAAAUUGUGGUUGUAGAUAUACGCAGUAUUUAUUAUUAGAUUAGAUAUCAUUUGUCAUCACUGCGAUUUGUGCCAAUGUUGUGUAGAACACAAAGGACUUUGCCAAAGUAAGUAAAAUGCACCCAUGAGUGAAAGAAAUAUACAGAGAGAGAGAGAACAAGGCUGCCGGCUGUUGGUGACGUGACACUAGCAUGAUGUGAGAGCUAGCAUCUGAACAUCUUGGAGACUUAAUACUGCUGUUUGGACAGUGCAAGGGUUGUGCUCCUGCAGAUCGCUAUGUCAGAAACGCGCAGAACAGGAAACGUGCUGAACAGACACUGAAUGCUUUGAAGGAGGAACAGGAAGUGACUCGACUGAGUCAGGGAAACUGAGCAGUGCGUGCUGCAACUUCUGCCAUGGCCACAGAAAGGUCAGUGAUGCCCCUCGUGACACAAUCGAAACCAUGUAUACGAAAAUAUGGAUAAAAUCAUAACUCUUUGUUUAUAAUUCUGUACGUUUUGGUUUGUCACCAGUUUCCAUAAAUCAGUUGUUUUUGUAAUCUGUACACAGAAUGAGAUCCUACCAGGAAUAGUGUGACCACUAUCAUCUGGAAAGUGCUGCUCUCCCUAAUGCCGUUGAUCCUUCGCCAGAAGUGUGUUCGAGUACAUACGAGGCGCCCCGCUAUCCCCAGUGGUACACUUAUUAUGUGACAUCAGAUUGAAUGCCAUGUCAAACAGAAUGACACCUUGAUAUUCCUUCUAUGCAUAACAUUUUGCCUUUGUGACAGUUAAGCGAAGGGAAAGCUCAAGGAAAUAUAAAUAAUAUACAUCUCAAAACUGAGCUCUCUGCGGGUGGACUCCAACCUUUAUGUAGCCGGAGGUGCCGGGUAUUGAGUGAGCUUGAAGUGACAUGUAUCUAAUUUGCUAGCUGCCAAGCGAAUGUAUCUGUCCUGGGUCCGGGUGUGUAUGAUUCUUCUGCUCAAGCCCAUGUAUGUGAAAGAAACUAUAAUUGGGAUGCCAAACCUUUUUGUUGUUUAGCGCCAAAAUACAUAAUAGUGCGGGCCAUUGAAGCGCACGCGUUCAUUUUGUUUGUGAGGUGGUUUCUGAAAUCUGCUGGAUUUGAGGUUCUCCGCAGCAGUGACCCUGAAGAGUACUGUCUCCUUCAGUAUGAUCUCGUGAGUGUGGUAGAAAUUAGUGAUAUUUCAGAGGAAUAUACAGCCUCCAUCUUCAGUGUCAAAGAGUUAAGUCAAACAAGUAGUUGGUUAGACUUGAAAGGAUUCUGACGAUGGUGUAUACUGUACUUCUUUUGCUUAUUUUGGACUUCAUCCAUCGUCUGGU